rnacentral:lncRNA from 1 species
GUGAUUUGGGGCUGUUUUGGGGUCAUUAGUGCCAUUUUGGUUUCAAUUCCCCCCAUUUAGGGCCAUUUUGGGGCCAUUUCCCCCAAUUUAGGCCCAUUUUGGGCCCAUUUAAGGCCAUUUUGGGGCCAUAUUAACCCAUUUAGGGCCAUAUAACCCCUUUUAGGGCCAUUUUGGGGUCAAUUCCCCCCAUUUAGGGCCAUUUUGGGGUCAAUUCCCCCCAUUUAGGGCCAUUUUGGGCCCAUUUUGGGGCCAUUUCCCCCCAUUUAGGGCCAUUUUGGGGCCAUUUAACCCCAUUUAGGGCCAUAUAACCCCUUUUAGGGCCAUUUUGGGGUCAAUUCCCCCCAUUUAGGGCCAUAUAACCCCUUUUAGGGCCAUUUUGGGGUCAAUUCCCCCCAUUUAAGCCCAUUUUGGGGCCAUUUCCCCCCAUUUAGGGCCAUUUUGGGCCCAUAUAAACCCAUUUUAAUCCCCUUUUCGGGCCAUUUGACCCUAUAUAUACAUACACUCCCCCCUGCGCCACGCCCCCAAAGUCUCCGGCUAAAUACGGCAAGGGGGGGGGGGGGACAGCAA